CUUUCAGGCCCCUGACUGUGAGCAGCCUGCUCUCCUGGGCUCCUGGGCUUCCCGGCUACCUCAAAAGUGAAAACACAGAAUAUUUUUCAGCGGCUGGAGGCAUGGAUCAGGCAAAGGAGAAGUGCAGUUCAGUGAAGGGGUUUUUCUUAGUCUGAAAUAUAUUUUAAAGCUGCAGUCUUCUCACACAGGUCUGACAAACUCUGUCACUUGUUUUCCCUCAGUGUCUUCUCUAAGCGUUCAGUGACAGCUAUGGCGCACUCCAGGCCUUUACCUGGCCCGGGUCCCCCCCUCCUGUGACCGCCCCCUUGCAGGAGCAGCAGCAGUGUGCGUGCUCUCACCGCAGGUCCUUCUGUAGUGACCCUCAGUGUUCACGCGUGGGCUGACCCGCUCCGCCGUUCUCCCGGGAAAACUACACCUGAAACACUCGUUCUCUUCAGUGGGCAGGACCCACUCAGUUCCUUCACAAAGAGUGGUGACAAUAAUUUAACAUUUAAUUUGAAUUGUCCAGCCUGCCAGGAACUAGUUUGAAAUAUUUAACUGUUUCAUUUUCUAGUCUAGUAGUGAGGUUGCAGUUUUGGACUUUGUCUCGAAGUCACAGUCCACCUCCAGGCUCUCACCUGCUCCCCUAAGCUUCUUGUGUCUCCCUUCUACUUAUUUCACAGACCGGAUCAUUCCUGUUUCUCUUCAAUGCUGGCCAACCAAGAUCUCUUUCACAGGUGCAUCUUCGUCUAUAACUAGAACAUGUAAGAUCCUGUCAAGAGGAAUGGGAGCUCACAAUGACUGGGGAAAGCUCCCUUUUCAUGGAAAGAGCCUGCAUUUAUGUGGCACUUUCUUUCGGCAUGGAGUUGGUCCAAAGUUCAUGGCAUUUGAAGAUGCCGUGCUCAUCUCUGACAUCAAAAUAAAUGCAAGGCCAGACAUGGACUUUGUCACUGGAUGCGGAUGCUGACAUUUGCUUUCAUCCAUAGGUGAACUUUUCAAGACCAGACUUUUGCAAACCCACACUUGGAAAUAUCAAGCCCACUUCUGAAGAUCGGGUGAAUACGGAAUGUCUGCUCCCAUCCUUGUAUGGACAGUGAUCACACCCAUCCAUCAGGAGAGCUACCAGAAAGCAUGCUGAUCAGCCUGGAGACUAAGAUAAGGGAGAGGCAGGACACAGGGGCCCUGGUGUCCUCUUCAUAAAGUGACUCUGGUUCUGCACCAAGAAUCUGCCUGCACCACAAACCAGAUAUGUAAAUGAUGGAGCUGCCCAGAAUCCAACCUCCUUAUUUUUCCACACACUUGGCAAAUGCUCAGCAGCCCAAGAGAAAGAGAAAUGAAGCCUUAGAGAUUCACGAACGGCAUACAAGCAAGGCAGAGGUAUCUGUCCCUUGCGCACAGGUGCACAGUGGGCACAAGGACCACUGAGGAAGGCAGAGCAGAGCAGAGUGGACCCCGCGUUUCCCAGAUAUACUGCCAUCAGUGCCCCAGGAAUGGACAUCGCACUCACAGCCCGCACCAGCACCAUUUAGUUUGUUCAGAGAUGCUAAGAGCAGCCAUCGCUCCCACUGGGUUUAUCAUGCAUCCUUGCCACGCAUCGUGACUAGUGGGCACAUGGUCUACCCUUCUCAGCCGCUUGCCUUGCAUCAUUUCAAACAGAAGGUGAAGAGUGUUUUCUAAGGUAUACCAACUUUAUAUCUUUGAUUGAAAUAUUUAUUCCAGUGUAAAAGACACACAUGCUUAUUAAGAUUUGGCAGCUAUUAGUCACCAAAAUAUUUUUAUCCCUACGUUUUCAUUUGUACAGAUCUGCUCCAAGCCCCUAGCCAAUUAACUCCUGCUUAAUUCUUUGUGUGUUUUGUACACUUAUUUGUUUUAUUAACUUAGUUGAAAAAUGUUAACUCUUGUGAACAAUGAAUUUAACAAUGAAUUAACAAAU